CUUAUGCCUGGGGAAGGUCCUGCUGCCCCUGGCUCACCCAGCCUGUCACUAUUCCUUCUCACCAAUCUUAACUGCCUCUGGACAAACAGUUUUAAGGCUUUCCUCGGUGACGCCAGGAGCCGACACGGAGCAUUGCAGGAAUUUUGUGGUUGCUGCUAUUUAUAAUGCAGUGAAGUGCAGGCUCCUUUGCAGAUCUCCAAACUCAGGGCCAUUUCACGCAGGGCAAAGGGAAGCAGUUUCUGCAAGACGACAGGACAAGCUGAGGGUCCCUCGGCCAGCCCCUUGCCAGCCUUGAGCAGGGCGUGGGAAGGAGGGAAGUGAUGCUUGCAGGGAAGAGGUGGGCUAUGGACACUGCUGUGGUCCCAUGUUUCUGGGAGGUCUCACCCAGCAACGGGGCUUUGAACAUCCACUGCCUGGCCUCAGACAUGCCUGGCGCUCAGCAUCACCAGGGCACAGAGCUGCCUGGAGCAGGUGAGGAUCCCUCACCACUCCCGACCUACGGGAAUAUCUCUGAGCCGUCAUUAAAGGACAGAAGAUGCAGUUUGAAAACAGCCUCUGGCAGAGCCGCUGAGUGCCUCCUGCUGCUGGCCUGGCCCUGCAUCUGCCUCUCCCUGCUUCGUGCACAGCUACCUUUUGUACAACCACAGCUGGCAUCACGUCUCCCCUCAGUCACCUCUUCCAGUGAUGACAGUUCUGCCAAAUGUUCUUCUAGACUGACGACUGCCUUGCUUCUGCCCUCCAAACUCAUCCGUCUUCUUCUUGAACAAAACAGACACAUCAAGAUCCAGGUUUCUGGCAAAGCCUAACAUGUGCUGAGCAAAGCAGUCACUUGUGCAGGCAAGCACACUCGUGUCACACUGCAGAUGGGUGUCCCUCUCUUCCCACCACACUGUGAUACCGUGGGCUCCUCUUUGCUGGGCUCACUGGGAUGGUUUCCUGCAGUGCUGGGUGCUCCCCACCCUGUCUCUGGGCAGUCAAUUUUUCCUCUGCCUUGAAAUCACAACACAUGACAUCCAUCACUGCUCAUCUGAGGUUUUAGGACCAUGUGUUGAGCUGCCGUUUGAGCCUGUAUUUCUGCUAUCUCAUCCAUCACCCUACGAGACAAACAUGCCCCGAAGGAUGACAAACAUGCCCCGAAGGAUGUCAGCAGCCUGGCUGUGACGGGAGGUGUCAGCAUGCAGACAGACCCUUCAGUGCUUUGCAGGCUGAGCGCCUGGAGGCACCCAGGGGUGGUGGGCAGACAGGCCUUGGCACGGGCUAAUCAUGGUAAUGAAGGAACACAUAUUGUACAUUCCUUUGUUAUUCACAGCUGAGAUCCCCUCGCGUCCCAUCCCCUCUUAACGACUUCAUGAUGAUGAUAUGGUCAUUAAAGUUGGUUACUUGCUCAGGGCUCCUGCACAUGAAUUACGAGAGUAAAACAUUAAAUGGAGAGGUUCAGAGCUCUUGCAGAGCCAUCAGCUCUUCAUGACUGCUAAUUAAUCCAGGGUGUGAUUAACUACAGGCAGUGACACUUGUGUCUGCUCCUUUCAGAGCUGUACUGGGAGCCCAGCCGUGGGUAGAGUUAGUGCAUCACCAGACUAGGAGCAGAUCAUGCUCUGGGCAAGUCCCACCUGCUUUGUGGUCCUUGGGCAUUAACUCACAUGGUCUUCACAGCCAUGCUGUGUAGUUUGCAGCAAGAGCUGCUGGGCUUAGUGCCUGAGCUGCAUCCCCAAUGUGUCUCACCAAGGGCUGUGGCUGCUGCAAGAAGGCUUAGCUCUGGACCACUGAUAAAUCUUGUUACAUCCAUAAUAAAUCCUUUUUCUGGCAUUACAAUGUGUGUCCAAACUGUGAAGUGCCUUGCUGGUCGUCAGGAUCCAUCUGAAUUUGUUCAUGUGGAGCGGGAUGCAGGUGCCUGAUCUCUUCAUGCCCCAUGUUCCCCUUUGCAGGGGCUGCAGAGGGAUGUUGACAUGAAUACAUUGUGGAAGACCAUCUGUGCUCUGCUCCCGUGGGGCUGAAAGGCACAACGACCCCAGUGGGGCUGGCUGCAGCCCCCUGCAUGGGGCAUUCCCUGGGUCUUCCCUGAGCCCAUGCUGCAUCACACACCUCCGUGCAGCACGGGAGCCGAGAGGAUGCUGCGCUGCAGGCGUGUUGUAGAACUCGCUCGCAAACUCUGUGUCCCUCAAGGGUCCUGCCUCCUCAUCUCGGUUAUAGAUCCUUUUGUUUCCUCAUCUGUAAUAUUUACGUCUGACCUUUGCCACUCAGACAUGUGUGCAUGCACUGCGGAGGAAUAACUGAUGAAAGAUUCUGGAGUCCUUCUGGGCCGGAGGGGUGUACAGUGCUGCAGAGAAGUCUACCAAAGUACUAUUGAUUUCUCAAGGAUCCCCUUGGGUCAGCUAUGGCCUCAUCAGUUUCAGAGAGAACUAAUGGGCUCUUUCUUCUUCUCCAGGGUUAUGAACUUGUCUUGCUGACAGUCUUCUACUUUGCUGGGAUUUAAAUCAGGCACACCCCAUUUGUCUGCUACCCCAUUCCCUUCCCUGCUCAGUAUUAAGAGCACAGUACCAUACAGAGGGUAGUUUUUCCCCUUUUUUUCUAAUCUCCACUCUUCUCCUGUGGCUGCCAGAUCCAUAACCAAGCACACAGAGCACCUCUGCUCCAUGCUGGCACUGUGGCAACAUGCCCAGGGAGCAAGAGCUACCGUAUGAGUGCAGGUUUAGUGCUUCUGCAAAAUAAAACAGCAAUGAUCCACAAUGCCUUUUGUUCAGCACUCGACACCGUAAUGUACUGUAUGAACCCUGGAAAAAGCGUUUGGCAAAAACACAGCAGUAUGAAAACAGCACAAUUCCUCAAUGGAUGCUCCCAGUGACCUGUGAGGUGACAGUCAUUAAAUAAAGGCAGUUCUCCAGCACUGCUGUUGGACUGCUCAGGCUGUGCACAGCUGCGGAGCAGCUCAGGAUGUAGUGCCUGUGGCUCCCCCAAAGAACCUGCACCACGGCUGUGCACAGAGCUAACACGGACCAGAAAAUGGCGAAGCACAGUUUGGGGCUCCAGCUGGACCCAAAUGCUUCCAUAGUGUGCGUCUCUGCAGCUCUUUCCCAGAAGAGAGGAAAAGGAGAGCAGGUUGGAGACUUCCCACUGAUCCAGCACUGAAUUAGCUUCCGACCUGUUUAGCUUGUUAACUUCUCUGGACCUUACAAGGUGAAUCCACGAGGGACCACAAGACCCACAGCAUCUUUGCAGAAACUCAUGUUCCAGGAGCUUGUUAAACAGGGCUCCUCACAGAUGGAGUGAGUGGAGUCAGCUGGGCCAGGACUUGAUUUUGCCUUUGAUUUAGAGUUAACAAGCUCUGAUUUUACCACCUUGCAAAUACUAUGAAUCUUAUGAAAAGAGGUCCCUGGGAAACCUGGGUGAUGAGUGAAUCUUGUUGGGGCAGCUGUGAGCCUUGCAUUGUAACUCUGUCUUUGGACUCAGAGGCUGGUCCCUGUUUUCAUGUUCCCUGUGAUACAUUAUGGGUUUUAGGCUGGGCACUGCCCACAGUGGCACCCCAAAAUACUGGAAACAUGUCCAGCAACAGGAGAUGGAGAUUACAGAAAACCCCUCUAAUCUGGUGUUUUCUUCUUCAGGGAUCCUAAGAGCAGGUGAAAUAAGCAUGAGGAAACCAAGCCCAGGAUCACCAGCCAGGAUGGUUCCCAUCCCUGCAGAGACCACCAAGGCAGGUCCUGUGUCCUUCCUUGGUGGUAGACGAUGCUUUUGGAGAGUGCUGGCCAGGUGGAAACAAGGGCUUUAAUUUCGAGGACCAUCCAUCCAGAACAAGCUGCAGAGGUGUAGUUUGGACCACAGCUGCUUGAUAUAGAGUGCAGCACCUGGCACCCAGAAUUGUCUUCAAUUCCUGAGGACAGAGAGUGGAGCUUUUAAAUGAGAACACAGGACAGCAAAUUACCAACAGCAACAUAUGAACUGUAAAUAAUGAAUAAUGAAAAGCAAAUAUUUGGUGAGGCACGCAUGCACGUGCGCGCGCACACACACACCACAAUUCAUGAAUUAAUAAAAGCAAACAGCCACUCCCGAAAUACCUCAGCAAACCAGUUGACAUAAAUAUUUGCAAAUAGCACAUCAGAGGCUGAGCCAGAGGGGUUUGCAAACAUGGCCUGAAAACACGCAGACAGCCCUGCAUGUAGAUUUAUACCUGGCACUCCUCUCUUCUUCUCACCAGUUACAUCCCUCCCCUCCUCUCCAGGAAAGCCAUUGCCAGUCUUUGUUCUUCUUUGCUUGACUCCCCAAGGAAGAAAUUCCCAGUCCAUAAUGCCAAACUUCAUGAAAAACAGGAGGCAGAGGGAUGAGAUUAUCAAGAGCAUCAGUGGGAAAGCACAAGGCUGAUCAGGCAAGACCUCACGAGGCUGAGGUGGGUGCACUGGAAUGGACAUUUUUCCAGUAAAAAGUGCAAAUUGGAUUUGUCGUAAUUGAACUUUGAUUGCCAAAAUGCCCAUACUUUGUCAGCAGCACUGACGGACUGGCUUCCCAUCAGCUGGUACUUUCUGGCCAUCCAGGCCUCAGCCUUGCGUGUCACUGCCUUGCAAGGCUGCCUUAACUAAAAGAACCCAAGGUACCCUGACUGUUGAAUGCGUAAAGAUCAAUUCUUAGCUGUUUCUUUUGGCAUUUGACUUUCAGCCUAGUAGAGUCACUGGGAAAGUAUUGUUUGAAGUGACAUUUCUGGGCCAAUGCCCACACAGAUUACCAAAGCUGGCAGAGACUCUCUGACCCUCUCCACCCUGCCUGCAUUUUAUGUCCCCUAAUUACAAGGUCUAUGCACAGCUCUCAUGUGCCAAUUGGGCUCGUUUCAGAACAUCCCUGCUUGUCAACAUCAGUCCCACUGGAAUACCAGUUCACAAAGAUGGGAAGAGCCAUGGAGAGAUGUUGGUUGUCCAAAGCUGUGCCCCGCUCCAUGGCUAAAAGUGGCAUUGCAAGCCCGGGGACACAUUUCUGCAGGCAGGCUGCCUGCUUCUGCAGCAGCAUCCUGCCUUCUGCUUUAGGUCCAGAUUCUGGAUGCACUGCGAUUCAGGAUGCACCGCUGUUUGGGCAGAGCAUCAGCUUUUUCUCUCACACUUUGCAGAUGAUAAUUAAUAAGGCUGUUGCUAUUAUGAUUUGUUCUGAAAAUGAGAAAGUUCACAUAAACAGAGGUGUGGUGUCUCAAUUUUCUUGAUACUUUUUUCGAAUGUGUGUUUCCACUGACUAAACUGUGCAGAGAGUUGAAGCUGUGUGAGGAGCACAAGGGACAUACAAAGCAGAGAAUGAGCACAGAUCACAGCAGAGGAUGUUAUUUGUGAUUUCUUCCAUCUUGCAGUGACCCUGUGAUCAGCUUGUCAAUGCUCUUCACUAAAAAUUCUGCUAGCUUUCUGUGGGUGGCAGUCAAGUAACAAUUUUUGUUUCUCUCCUCCUUCCUUAGCCAAAGAAAAUAUUUUUUGGGAACACGCCUGAGUUUCAGACAUCUAAAAUUGUCUCAAAAUUCCACAUUUCACAAUGUGAAUUGUGUCUCACUUUUAUUUCAC